GGAGAGUAUACACAUUGAUAUUCUCAGUUUCAGGAUUUCUCCCAUUAAGGGUUAUAUUACUCGGUUUUUCUGUUUCGCGGAAACCAGAGCAGUUUUUAUUCGAAGCUCUCACUUUCUCAGCUUUUCUUGUACUUUUGUGUUGUGCUGGGCUGUGUAUAUGCAUGCUUGUGUACCUUCCAGUGGCGGAUUCUUUGGCUUUGGGCAAUUUACAGGAUUUGGAGGCGAGGAGAAGGUCGAGCGAUGAUCACAAUGACACUAUCUCUCUCAUUGCCAACCAACCUCAGCUUGAUGAUAGCAGCUCCCCACAAAUGAGCCCGGCCCGAAACUCCAAUGCCUCCUCAACCAAGAGGGGUUCGAUCUCUUUUAGAACAUUUCAAAAAGAUGGAGCUUCUGCUGGAAUGGGGACAGCAACUUUUGUGGAGCUCAGCCUUUUUUCUCCCAGCCGAGAGGCAUCCCCGCCGGGAUCACCUCCGUUGCUUGGUUGGCCCAUGCGCUCUGCUUGAGAAUGCACCUUAUGGCUGCGGUUGGGGUGGUGGAAAGCUUGUGAAGAGAAACUGAGUAUUUGUCAAUUUUGCAAUGAAGAAAAAAACACUGAUUGUAAAAAGGAAACAAAAGGGUUUAGCUUCUUCAAUAAGGAUUUUUAAUUUUUGGCUUGUGU
rnacentral:misc_RNA from 1 species